rnacentral:antisense_RNA from 1 species
AGUUAUGGUGGCUCAGGCGGGGCAUCCUUUUGGGUGGCCGGUAUCAGUAAGGCCGGUUUGUGACCCCCGUCUGGGCUACC